rnacentral:rRNA from 1 species
GGCUCAGGAUGAACGCUAGCGGCAGGCUUAAUACAUGCAAGUCGUGGGGCAGCAUGAGUAGCAAUACUUGAUGGCGACCGGCAAACGGGUGAGGAACACGUACACAACCUUCCUUCAAGCGGGGAAUAGCCCAGAGAAAUUUGGAUUAAUACCCCAUAAUAUAUUUGAUAAGGCAUCUUAUUAAUAUUAAAGCUUCGGCACUUGAUGAUGGGUGUGCGGCUGAUUAGAUAGUUGGCGGGGUAACGGCCCACCAAGUCUACGAUCAGUAGCUGAUGUGAGAGCAUGAUCAGCCACACGGGCACUGAGACACGGGCCCGACUCCUACGGGAGGCAGCAGUAAGGAAUAUUGGACAAUGGACGAAAGUCUGAUCCAGCCAUGCCGCGUGAAGGAUUAAGGUCCUCUGGAUUGUAAACUUCUUUUAUAUGGGACGAAAAAAGGGCAUUCUUGUUCACUUGACGGUACCAUAUGAAUAAGCACCGGCUAACUCCGUG